rnacentral:misc_RNA from 1 species
AACAAACUUGAACAAGGAUCCCAAUAACUGAACCAAAGAUAACUUUGCUCUCCACGAUGUAAUAUAUAUCAAAAAAGGACAUGAAAGAUUAAAAAACAAAAAUCUAGUAAGAAAAAUUAUGGGGAAUAAAGGGUGAAUAAAAAUAGAAGUCGCAUGAUGCGUGAGAGCGAGGGAGCACAAACUCCACCGAACCAACAAUUUGUCCAAG